CGGACACUCCCACCGCGCACCUGCUUCUGCCUGACGUGUACCCGGAAGGUCGUCAGCUCAGGCUCCAAAUAUGUAACAGUGAGUUUCUAAAGACGGAGGUCUCGCUAUGUUGCCCAUACUGGUCUCAAAAUUCCUGGCCUCGAGUGAUCCUCCUGUCUCAGUCCCUGAAAUGCUGGGAUUACAGAACAGGUGGAGAGGUAUGAAGAACGAGGAACACUGCCCGGGGAGUUUCUUCCUCUGCAAAAUAAGGGAGUGUGUACUGAAUUACCGUUUCCAGCUCCAACAUCCAGGAUUUCAGCACUACCUGCAGAGUAGUGGGAGGAGAGAUAGAGGAAGAAGUGAAGAUAAGAAACCACUCGAAGCCGGUGUCUGGUGCUGGGACCGUGGUGGCUGGGACGGCAGCAGUCGUGCUGUCCAUCUGCUCUUCCGAGGGGUGGCACAUCCUAGCCUCUAUCUUUUCCCCAGAGAAGAUCCCCCUCGUCUGCUCUUCCCCCGUCUCAGCCUUUUAGUGUGUGAACAGUUCUGGUGUUACUCAGCAACGCUUUUGUUAGCGCCUUUACCAGCAAGUACUUGUUAAACACUUAAAUCUUACAAGUGGAAAGAAAAUUCCGUGGUAAAUUUAAGUACAAAAGUCAACCAAAAUUCUGAGUCUCGGACAAGACUGGUUAAAAAUCGUUCUACAAUGAAACUAAUAAAUUAAAUCAUAUAAAACU
rnacentral:lncRNA from 1 species